rnacentral:lncRNA from 1 species
CUAAAUGGAAAAAUGAAUAACUCGAUGAAACUUAUUGGCUCAAAAAGACAAGAAAUAUGUUGAAACUUGUUGCACAUUAGUAAUAGAAACUACACAAGUUGAAUAGAUAAGAUGACUCGUUCUCAAAAUAUUUUAUAAACCUAUCAAGAAACAUCAGAGAGGUUGCAGGAAAGUAGCCAUGGUGCCUUGGCAAUGAUGUGGCGUAACUGGGAAUUAGAGAAACCGUAGUUUGUGAAGAAGUCGACAACAGAGUCAGGUUUUUGGGUGGUUUUGAAAGCAAGACGGUAGGUGGAGCAAAGUUUGGAAGCGGAUUGUGGGGGAGAAAUCAAAAUUGUUGAUGAGGUAGGAGACUUCGAAUGGGGUUGAAUCGAAAUGCAGAGAGGAUGGUGAUGGUUGUGGGGGAAGUGAAGCACUUGAGAUUGAAUAGGGUUAGGGUUGUGUUGGGCCAUGUAUUGAACUUCAACAUGAUGAUUGAAGGACUGAAAAUUGAAAGAAAGGGAUAUCAAAUUGUUUAUGUUACCGGCGGUUGAAGAUGAAAAUGGCGAUUUCGUGGGACAGAUUAGAUGGCUUUCGACGACGGCGCAAUCACGAAUGGUGGCUUUUGGCGAUGGUGCGACCGCGAAUGGUGGCUCGCGGUUUAGACUUCAUAUGAUAUAAACUUUCAAUUACCAUUUUUUAAUUUAUUUUUAAAUUUCAACUAUAAAUUUCUAUAAUUUUUUUCUUUCAAAA